GUCAAGGAAAGGGGGCGGGGGGGAGAGGGAGAGGGAGAAGGAGAAAGGGAGGUAAUAAAAUAAGAUAUAAUAUAAACAAACAUUCAGAAUAAAAAGCCAAAGGGAAAACCACAAGAGACAUAGACACAUUUGCACAUGUAGAAAUCCAAUAAAACACAAAAUUGGAAACCAAAAUAUAAAUGCAAAGACCUGUGAGGAAAACCUCCAAUAAUGCCACUAAAUGCGUUGGCUAUCUACUGCUGGGCAUGGGAUCUGUCCUUAGAGUGGUUUGUAUGUCCACUGAGAUUCCACUGGAGAAAACUAAUUUUUCCUUUGGAAGAAGUUGUCAAUUGGAAAUAGCUCUGGGGUAGAGAUGGGGGCUUAUGUCCACUUCCCCUCUAACUACUGGGACAGACACAUCUGGCUUAGACCUGUGCAGGCCCUGUGAUUGGUGCCACAGUCUCUGAGUUUAUGUGUGUGUCAUUCCUGCUGUGUUUAGAAGGCUUCGUUCCCUUGGUCUCUUCAAUAUCCUCAGGAGGAGUUUGUUUAAGACAGAGUAUUGCAAGGACUCUCCAUCUCUGCACAUUGUCCAGUUGUGGGUCUUUGUGUUUGUUCCCAUCUACUGCAGGAGGGAGCCUCUCUGAUGAUGGCUGAGCAAGGCACUGAUCUAUGUUGAGAGACAUCUAGAUUGUUUCCGGUUUCCGGCUGUUAUGCCUAGAGCAGCAGUGAACAUGGUUGAGCAAAUACCUGUCUCUGUAGCAUACGGUGUAGAGUCCUUGGUAUAGUCCCCAGAGUGGUGAGGCCAAGUCUGGAAGUGGAUUUUCCCCAGCUUCCCGAGGAACUGACAAGCUGAUUUCUAUGUGGCUGGACAAGUUUGCAUGUGACAGUGUUUUAAGGAUUUCUUAAUUUUGGCAUCCCAAACUUCUCUAACUAUUUGUGAUUUCAGAAGUUUUCUCAAUAUCCUUAAAAUGUAAAGUGUUUGUCUUCAAGCCAUUUCACCAGAGUUUAGUCUCUGAGACUCACAUGGUAGAAAGCGAGCACCAGCAUCCUAAAAUGAUGCCUCUGACUUCACGUAUAUGCUCCCUACCCUGAAGAAAACAAACAAACAAAAAACUAUGCAACAAAAUGAUGGUUUUUGUUGGGGUGUUUUCAUACAUAUUUACUCUCGUUUCUCUGUCUUGUCCUCUCACCUUCUUUGCUACUAAUUCCUGUCUUCUUCCAAAAUAUUGCCCUAAAAAGGCUUUGAAGUUAGAA